UACCGAGUGAGGGCCCUCUGGGUCCACCUCCCACCCGUGUUUAUCGUACCUUGUUGCUUCGGCGGGCCCGCCGCAAGGCCGCCGGGGGGCAUCUGCCCUCUGGCCCGCGCCCGCCGAAGACACCAUUGAACGCUGUCUGAAGAUUGCAGUCUGAGCAAUUAGUUAAAUAACUUAAAACUUUCAACAACGGAUCUCUUGGUUCCGGCAUCGAUGAAGAACGCAGCGAAAUGCGAUACGUAAUGUGAAUUGCAGAAUUCAGUGAAUCAUCGAGUCUUUGAACGCACAUUGCGCCCCCUGGUAUUCCGGGGGGCAUGCCUGUCCGAGCGUCAUUGCUGCCCUCAAGCACGGCUUGUGUGUUGGGCUCCGUCCUCCUUCCGGGGGACGGGCCCGAAAGGCAGCGGCGGCACCGCGUCCGGUCCUCGAGCGUAUGGGGCUUCGUCACCCGCUCUGCAGGCCCGGCCGGCGCUUGCCGACACAUCAAUCUUUUUUCCAGGUUGACCUCGGAUCAGGUAGGGAUACCCGCUGAACUUAAGCAUAUCAAUAAGCGGAGGAAAAGAAACCAACAGGGAUUGCCCCAGUAACGGCGAGUGAAGCGGCAAGAGCUCAAAUUUGAAAGCUGGCCCCCUCGGGGUCCGCAUUGUAAUUUGCAGAGGAUGCUUCGGGAGUGGCCCCCAUCUAAGUGCUCUGGAACGGGCCGUCAUAGAGGGUGAGAAUCCCGUAUGGGAUGGGGUGUCCGCGACCAUGUGAAGCUCCUUCGACGAGUCGAGUUGUUUGGGAAUGCAGCUCUAAAUGGGUGGUAAAUUUCAUCUAAAGCUAAAUAUUGGCCGGAGACCGAUAGCGCACAAGUAGAGUGAUCGAAAGAUGAAAAGCACUUUGAAAAGAGAGUUAAAAAGCACGUGAAAUUGUUGAAAGGGAAGCGCUUGCGACCAGACUCGCCUACGGGGUUCAGCCGGUAUUCGUACCGGUGUACUUCCCCGUGGGCGGGCCAGCGUCGGUUUGGGCGGCCGGUCAAAGGCCCUCGGAAUGUAACGCCUCUCGGGGCGUCUUAUAGCCGAGGGUGCCAUGCGGCCAGCCCGGACCGAGGAACGCGCUC
rnacentral:rRNA from 1 species